rnacentral:rRNA from 1 species
AGAAUCAACGCUGGCGGCGUGCCUAACACAUGCAAGUCGAACGAGAAAGUGGUAGCAAUACCAUGAGUAAAGUGGCGCACGGGUGAGUAACACGUGACUAACCUACCCUUGAGUGGGGGAUAACUUCGGGAAACCGAGGCUAAUACCGCAUAAUACCGAGAGGUCAAAGGAGCAAUUCGCUUAAGGAGGGGGUCGCGGCUGAUUAGCUAGUUGGUAGGGUAAUGGCCUACCAAGGCAAUGAUCAGUAUCCGGCCUGAGAGGGCGCACGGACACACUGGAACUGAAACACGGUCCAGACUCCUACGGGAGGCAGCAGUGGGGAAUUUUGCACAAUGGGGGAAACCCUGAUGCAGCAACGCCGCGUGGAGGAUGAAGUCCCUUGGGAUGUAAACUCCUUUCGACCGGGACGAUUAUGACGGUACCGGUGGAAGAAGCCCCGGCUAACUUCGUGCCAGCAGCCGCGGUAAUACGAGGGGGGCAAGCGUUGUUCGGAAUUAUUGGGCGUAAAGGGCGCGUAGGCGGCGCGGUAAGUCACCAGUGAAAUCUCCGGGCUCAACUCGGAGCCUGCUGGCGAAACUGCCGUGCUGGAGUAUGGGAGGGGUGCGUGGAAUUCCCGGUGUAGCGGUGAAAUGCGUAGAUAUCUGCAGGAACACCCGUGGCGAAAGCGGCGCGCUGGACCACUACUGACGCUGAGGAACGAAAGCUAGGGGAGCAAACAGGAUUAGAUACCCUGGUAGUCCUAGCCCUAAACGAUCAGGACUUGGGGUGCCACCCGUUCGGGUGUCGUCCCGGAGCUAACGCGUUAAGCAGUCCGCCUGGGGAGUACGGUCGCAAGGCUGAA